AAAUUUGGCAAUAUUAUAAUAUAAAAUCUGACCAUUUCCUUAGGAUUUCCCGCUCGCCCCCGCAUUGCCGUCGCAGCCCCAUUUUCCGAUGGAUAGCAAUGCCAAUGUGAAACUCAAACAAGAACGUUCAAGGACAAAGUGGACAGCAUCUCCGGCAAGAUAUUUGCAGAUCUGGUCGUCAGGCACAUUCAACAGAGAGACAAAACAACGUGCUUGACAAGAAAACAUGAAUUCACAUUCGUGAUGAACUCAAUAAGCAAACUGAUUUCAACUUCCAAUAACAAUUGACCUCACAAUUGAUGAUUCAUGUAGUACUGGAUUUGAUUUGGGGGAAGAUCUUGGGCUACAUUUCUUUCCUUCGAAAGCUUACCUAGUUUUGCCUUACAGGUUUACCUUAAUUUUCUGACUGAUUCUUUCCAUAGGUCCAGAAUCGGUUUGAAUACUCAAAUUCGAAGAUUGUCCCAUCAUAUAUGAGCAGUUGUGCACAAUGUUCACCGAAUCAGGUGCUGGUGAGAAGUAUGCAGAAUCCAGCCACGAAGAAUAGCUGGACAGAUCUGCUGGAACAAAUAGAUUAGUCAUAAAUUCAUGUCCUGAUGGGUGGAACCAUGUAUCCUGAAAACCUAUAACCAAAACUAAGCAUGGAAAUUAGUUAUUUUCUGGAAAAAUGACGAAGGCCGUGGUAGAGUGAGAAAAAGCGACAAUUAGAUGCACAUCCUUCCAUAGGUCAAAGCAUCACCGAACAAGAAACCCAUCUGAUAAUGGCAUAAGCAUUGUUAAGACUUGUUAGAAGUAAAACCUUCCAAUAACAGCUGAAGAAUGCCUACUGAUCGAAGACCUAGAUUCAGUAUAACUAAUUGAAUAGGUGCCCUGGAUGACAUUGAAGGCAAUGAUAACCGGCUAUAUUUUGCUUCUUUGGAUCUCUUUGAUACCCCAAAUUUUAGGGAGUUUUUUAUUUUACUUAAACGGAACAAGAUACGUUUAAGGUGGUUAGAAGAAAACUGUCGUAAAUGUAAAACUACCCCAUAUUAACCUGGAUGGCUUUUGUGCUGCGAUAUUCAAAGUGUAAAUGUAGGUUUAUUUGCCUCUGUACCCAACUCCAAUGAGCUAUUUUUUGCUCAGAAUCAAGCAUGCUUUCUUUUGGUUUUCA